rnacentral:rRNA from 1 species
UACGUAGGUGGCAAGCGUUGUCCGGAUUUAUUGGGUUUAAAGGGUGCGUAGGCGGUCUUUUAAGUCAGUGCUGGAAUACUCCAGCUUAACUGGAGGGGUGGCAUUGAUACUGGAAGACUUGAGUAUAGUUGAGGUAGGCGGAAUUGACGGUGUAGCGGUGAAAUGCUUAGAUAUCGUCAAGAACACCGAUAGUGAAGACAGCUUACUAAACUAUAACUGACGCUGAGGCACGAAAGUGUGGGGAUCAAACAGG